rnacentral:rRNA from 1 species
ACGCUCGACACCUACGGUAGGCAGCAGUGGGGAAUAUUGCACAAUGGGGGAAACCCUGAUGCAGCGACGCCGCGUGAGCGAAGAAGUAUUUCGGUAUGUAAAGCUCUAUCAGCAGGGAAGAAACUGACGGUACCUGACUAAGAAGCACCGGCUAAAUACGUGCAGCAGCCGCGGUAAUCUGAGCGGGCUGGCAAGGC